rnacentral:lncRNA from 1 species
ACGGACGCACAUUUAACAUACACAAAAGCAUUUAUUUACAGCAACAAUAAUAAUAAUAAAAGAAUAAAAGUUACUACUGUGCAAGAAUAUGAGAGUCUAAACAAGCAUAAAAGAAUAUCCUAAGCCUAAUACCAUAAAUUCCCCUUAACUAAUACCAUACAAUAUACUGUUCUGUUUCGUUCGAGAGAGUGUGAGACGAGCCCAUCCACAUACCUGAGAGAUAUAUUACAAAAUUACAUUAUUAAGCCAAUGACUCCAGUUACACAUUAAAUGCUCAAUGUUCAUAAUGCCCAAUGUCCUUCUGAAAAGUUCAUUGUCUUCACUGGCUGUCGGCGUUGUAAUCGCCACCAUUGACUUUCGUCGUCCGCCAUUGUUGUCGCACUGUCAGGCCUUGUUGGCCGUCCUGAUGGGACGAGCUGCUUUUCUGUCUUCUGCUGUGUGUGUCUCUCUGUCUGUCUAUAUGCGUAUCUAUAUGCUCCCUCUGUGUGUGAUGCUCUCCUCCCUUUUCGUCGUCU